rnacentral:rRNA from 1 species
AACGAACGCCGGCGGCGUGCCUAACACAUGCAAGUCGAACGAAAACCGUAGCAAUACGGUUUUAGUGGCGCACGGGUGAGUAACACGUGGGUAAUCUGCCUCGAAGAUUGGGAUAACCCCGCGAAAGCGGGGCUAAUAUCAAAUAAGGCCACAUCCAUUUCGGUGGAAGGGGUUAAAGAUGGCGCAAGCUAUCACUUCGAGAUGAGCCCGCGGCCCAUCAGCUAGUUGGUAGGGUAACGGCCUACCAAGGCUAUGACGGGUAACUGGUCUGAGAGGACGACCAGUCACACUGGAACUGAGACACGGUCCAGACUCCUACGGGAGGCAGCAGUGGGGAAUAUUGGACAAUGGGCGAAAGCCUGAUCCAGCAACGCCGCGUGGGUGAUGAAGGCUUUCGGGUUGUAAAGCCCUGUCAGCGGGGAAGAAACUCCGGGAUGCGAAUAGUUUCCCGGAUUGACGGUACCCGCAGAGGAAGCACCGGCUAACUCCGUGCCAGCCGCCGCCGUAACAC